UACGUAGGGUGCGAGCGUUAAUCGGAAUUACUGGGCGUAAAGCGUGCGCAGGCGGUUCGUUGUGUCGGUGGUGAAAUCCCCGGGCUUAACCUGGGAAUGGCCAUGGAAACUGGCGAACUGGAGUGCGGCAGAGGGGGGUGGAAUUCCCGGUGUAGCAGUGAAAUGCGUAGAUAUCGGGAGGAACAUCUGUGGCGAAGGCGACACCCUGGACCAGCACUGACACUGAGGCACGAAAGCGUGGGGAGCAAACAGG
rnacentral:rRNA from 1 species